rnacentral:rRNA from 1 species
CACGUAGGGGGCAAGCGUUGUCCGGAUUUAUUGGGCGUAAAGAGCUCGUAGGCGGUUUCGUAAGUCGGAUGUGAAAUCUCCAGGCUCAACCUGGAGGGGUCAUUCGAUACUGCCGUGACUAGAGGUCGGUAGGGGAGUGUGGAAUUCCUGGUGGAGCGGUGAAAUGCGCAGAUAUCAGGAGGAACACCCGUAGCGAAGGCGGCACUCUGGGCCGAUACUGACACUGAGGAGCGAAAGCGUGGGGAGCGAACAGG